rnacentral:rRNA from 1 species
GUGGGGGAUAUUGCACAAUGGAGGAAACUCUGAUGCAGCGACGCCGCGUGAGGGAAGAAGGUCUUCGGAUUGUAAACCUCUGUCUUUGGGGACGAAGAAAGUGACGGUACCCAAAGAGGAAGCCACGGCUAACUACGUGCCAGCAGCCGCGGUAAUACGUAGGUGGCGAGCGUUGUCCGGAAUUACUGGGUGUAAAGGGUGCGUAGGCGGACUGGCAAGUUGGAUGUGAAAUCUCCGCGCUUAACGUGGAGGUUGCAUUCAAAACUGUUGGUCUUGAGUGAGGCAGAGGCAGGCGGAAUUCCCGGUGUAGCGGUGAAAUGCGUAGAGAUCGGGAGGAACACCAGUGGCGAAGGCGGCCUGCUGGGCCUUAACUGACGCUGAGGCACGAAAGCAUGGGUAGCAAACA